rnacentral:rRNA from 1 species
UACGUAGGAGGCAAGCGUUAUCCGGAAUGAUUGGGCGUAAAGCGUGCGUAGGCGGUUUUUUAAGUCUGAUGUGAAAGCCCACGGCUCAACCGUGGAGGGGCAUUGGAAACUGGAAAACUAGAGUGCAGUAGAGGAAAGUGGAAUUCCAGGUGUAGCGGUGAAAUGCGUAGAGAUAUGGAGGAACACCAGUGGCGAAGGCGACUUUCUGGGCUGUUACUGACGCUGAGGUACGAAAGCGUGGGGAGCGAACGGG